rnacentral:ncRNA from 1 species
GCCAACACGUUGAGCAAGAGGGUUAUUAGGUUCGGUUACACAGAGACGCAACGGCGAGUGGAAGUUGCGACCGGCUUAGUAAUUGUAGCUUGUGAGUGCCACCCUGAACGUUUGAGUAGGGGUGGUCGGCUACGGCCGUUAUCCGUACUGAGGGGGUUGCCAGCUGGCAACCAAUUUAGGUGGCACCGCGAGUUAACUCGUCCUAAUU